rnacentral:snoRNA from 1 species
CCUCCCGUUCUCGGCAGGCCCCGGCCGCCCUGUGCCCGGGUCUGUGAUGUCCGGAGGUAGAGCAGUGACUCUU